GUAGUCUCGCACAGAUGCAUAUCAAUAAGCGGAGGAAAAGAAACUAACAAGGAUUCCCUUAGUAACGGCGAGUGAAGCGGGAAGAGCUCAAAUUUGAAAUCUUCAAGGUUUUACCUUGACGAAUUGUAGUUUAAAGAAGUGUUUUCUGUUGAAGUUUUGGUAAAAGUUCUUUGGAAUAGGACAGUCAUAGAGGGUGAGAAUCCCGUAUUUGACCAUUAUUUUCAGCUGUGUGAUACACUUUCAAAGAGUCGGAUUGUUUGGGAAUGCAGUCCAAAAUGGGUGGUAAAUUUCAUCUAAAGCUAAAUAUUGGCGAGAGACCGAUAGCGAACAAGUACCGCUGAGGGAAAGAUGAAAAGAACUUUGAAAAGAGAGUUAAACAGUACGUGAAAUUGUCAAAAGGGAAGCGUUUGACACCAGUGUUGUUUUCUCGAAAAUCAAUUAAAAAGAGUUUAGAUUUUGUUGUGUAUUGACCUUAACAGCUUGCAUUUCAAUUUUCUUGCUUUUUUUAAUGCACUUUUCGUUUAACAAGUCAACAUCAGCUUCUUUUGUUGUAAAAAGGUCAUUGGAAGGUGGCUUUCUUUUCGGAGAAAGCGUUUAUAGCCUUUGACUCCUGCAAUCGGAGAGACUGAGGUCCUGCAGCGUAGAUCCUUCGGGGUUAGAUACAUUUGUGCUAAGUUAUAGCUUUUUAUAGACAACUUGUUGACUAUGAUUAGUCUUGUAGCUUACUCGCUUAUGCUAUUUUACCUACGCUUAGGAUGUUGAGCGCAUGUCUCUCUCU
rnacentral:rRNA from 1 species